UACGUCCGUCAUGCCUCUUAGUGGAAGAUAGUAUUUGAAGUAAAUACGGAUACGUAGUUGAAGCUGUAUUGCUAUUUUCUGUAGACCACAGGGACACACGAACAACUACUGUAUUUGCUGAAAGGCAUAAUUUGACUCAGAGUAUAUUUAUAUCCGUUAGAGGGUGUUUCCAAACAUCACCACCCCGGGAAAGCCUUGUCGAGAGAAGAUGAAGCCUAAGGCAACAAUGUUGAACCUAGAGGCUAUAUGCUCAGAAAAUUGAUUGGGUUCCGCCCAAUGAGGAUCGAUAUCCUCAGAAAACCUUUGUUUGAAUCCGUGCAAUGUGUUCCUCCUAUAUCAGCAGAUUAAUUAAGAAGAGAGAGAAGCACGAAGUUUGUCUCAUCGGCAAUCUUUUCUUUUACUUUCCUUGCCCGAAUGAUAAGAGUGCUGUGAACAAUCAACAGUGGAAACAGCUACAUCAAUACUUCUGUAAACCACUGAUAAGUGAAACUGCUGUGGACAAAACCAUUACAUCAACUUCUGUGAGCAAUUAGUAGUUGAAACUGCUACAUCAAGACUUCUGUGAACAAAAACUCCUACAUCAAGACUUCUGUGAACACAAACUGCUACAUCACUACUUCUGUGAACAAAAACUGCUACAUCAACACUUCUGUGAACAAAAACUGCUACAUCAACACUUCUGUGAACAAAAACUGCUACAUCAACACUUCUGUGAACAUAAACUGCUACAUCAACAUUUCUGUGAACAGUCAGUAGUUGAAACUGCUACAUUAGCACUUCUGUAAACCAAUGAUAGGUUAAACUGCUGUGAACAAUCAGUAGUUGAGACAGCUACAUUAGCACUUCUGUAAACUAAUGAUAGUUAAACUGCUGUGAACAAUCAGUAGUUGAAACAGCUACAUUAGCACUUCUGUAAACCAAUGAUAGGUUAAACUGCUGUGGACAAAACCAUUACAUCAACACUUCUGUGAACAAUCAGUAGUUGAAAAUGCUACAUCAAUGCUUUUGUAAACAACCAGCAGUUCUAAUUGUUACGUUAAUGAUUCCAUGACUGAUCGCUCAGCGAAACUGUUACAUUUGAGAACGAAAUGCUUUUGUUAUGCUUGCCCAUAGACUAACUCUGGACUCACAGCUGUAAGGUUGCUAUGGAAACGGCUAACUUGUCGAAAUAAGUGAUCAAGAAUACAUUAUUUACAGAAUGCUUCUUUUUCAUCCCUCUUUGUUGGUUUCUUGGUAACCACUUGCAAGCAUUUUUUGGAUGUCAUCGCGAAAAUUAUUCAUAUAUAUGAAACUUCUCAACGGCAUUAAAGAAACGUUUUAAUAACGGAGAAAAAAAAAUGUUCAGCUGCUUGUGAUUAUGAAUAAAUAUCUUUAGGGCGACAUCAUGAGGAAAUCAUUUCUUGAUCGAUUAUAUAGUGUUUAUUCAGCACUUUAGGGGGAAAAACUAAUAAAAAGAUUGGCUUACUGUGAAGUGAAAAACAAAAUCUUAUCGAUGAAUACGAAUUUUAUUUGGAAAUUAAGGGAAUUUACAUUCUCGCAAAUAAACUGCUUCCAUAAUCAAGACGACGUAAAAAAAAACAUCAUACCAGAAACGUAAGACUACACUACACUGAGUUUCAGGUGAGGACUUAUUGUCGAAACCUAAAAAAAAAUCGUUUCUUGUGUAAUCAAGGAAGACGUAGAUUUUCAAGUUGAUGAAGUGCCUUCCUAAAAAUAUUAUCAGAAGAUAGGUGAGACUUAUCUUUGGGAAACUCGUCUUAUAUAUUGGUGGUUAAGACAUAAAAAAAGGAAGAAAUAUGGCUGUUUAUCGACAUCCAAAAAUGGAUUAUCUUCUCUCAAAGCUUCGUCUUAAUAUGGUGAGUAGGUUUUAAUAUCUCUCAUGUUAAUGAUUUGUUUUUCACUAAUAUUGGUUUGUGUUCCUUGGUUAUGAUUUUAUAUUUACAACA